GAUGAACGCUGACAGAAUGCUUAACACAUGCAAGUCUACUUGAAUUUGGGUUUUUUGUCUUUGAUUUGGGUGGCGGACGGGUGAGUAACGCGUAAAGAACUUGCCUCACAGCUCGGGACAACAUUUGGAAACGAAUGCUAAUACCUGAUAUUAUGAUCAUAAGGCAUCUUAGAAUUAUGAAAGCUAUAUGCGCUGUGCGAGAGCUUUGCGUCCCAUUAGCUAGUUGGAGAGGUAACGGCUCACCAAGGCGAUGAGGGGUGGCCGGCCGGAGAGGGUGAACGGCCAGAAGGGGACGGAGAGACGGACCGUACACCUACGGGCGGCAGGAGGGGGGAAGAUUGGACAAGGGACGAAGGGUAGGAUGCAGCAAUUCUGUGUGGAGGAGGAUGUUGUUCGGAAUGUAAAGUGCUUUCAGUUGGGAAGAAGAAAAUGACGGUACCAACAGAAGAAGCGACGGCUAAAUACGUG
rnacentral:rRNA from 1 species